GUCUGACCUGCUCACUGAAUAAAUUUAAAGAGCCGCGGUAUUAUGACCGUGCGAAGGUAGCAUAAUCAUUAGUUUCUUAAUUAGAGGCUGGAAUGAAUGGUUUGACGAAAAAUUAACUGUCUCUUAAUAAAUUGUAGAAUUUAACCUUUGAGUGAAAAGGCUUAAAUUAUUUUUUAGGACGAGAAGACCCUAUAGAGCUUAACAUUUAUAAAUUUAUGUUUUUUUUUAGUUAUCUUUAAUAAUGUAUUUAGAUGUUUAGUUGGGGUGACUUGAAGAAUAAAUAAACUCUUCAUUAUCAAAUCAUUGAUUUAUGUUUAUUUGAUCCAUAAUUUAUGAUCACAAGAUUAAGUUACCUUAGGGAUAACAGCGUAAUUAUUUUUGAGAGCUCAUAUCGAUAAAGUAGAUUGCGACCUCGAUGUUGGAUUAAGAUUAAUGUUAGGUGUAGUGGCUUAAUAAUUAGGUCUGUUCGACCUUUAAAUUCUU
rnacentral:rRNA from 1 species